GUCACAUUCCUUAAAGUUGGAAGAAAUCUUGUUUCUCUGACUAAAGAUCCAACUCAUAAGUUUAUGAUUUUGUUGUUUGAAUACUGUUUUUUCAUCCAGGAAUUGUUGGGAUGGGCAGUGCUUCUUGAGAAAAAUAGCAGCGUGCACAUUUUCGCUGCUGUGUUGUGGAGUUCAUUCCUCAGCUCGGGUGGAGAAACUUAGAUGCUUGCAAGGGAAAAUAUGUUUCUGUUUGGAGUCAUCUGGAGCUCCUCCUGGCUGGCUUCUCUAGUCCUGAAGAACACAACAGGAGGGAAGGUCCGGGGAGAUGAAGGGAAAGACCUGCACAUCGUGUACACGUGGUAUUUAAAGGGAUUGCCAGUGCUACAAAAAUAG
rnacentral:lncRNA from 1 species